rnacentral:rRNA from 1 species
ACGAAAAAUGAAUACCAAGUCUCAAGAGUGAACACGUAAUUCAUUACGAAGUUUAAUUCAUUGAGCAUCAAACUUUUAAAUUGAAGAGUUUGAUCAUGGCUCAGAUUGAACGCUGGCGGCAGGCCUAACACAUGCAAGUCGAACGGUAACAGGAAGCAGCUUGCUGCUUUGCUGACGAGUGGCGGACGGGUGAGUAAUGUCUGGGAAACUGCCUGAUGGAGGGGGAUAACUACUGGAAACGGUGGCUAAUACCGCAUAACGUCGCAAGACCAAAGAGGGGGACCUUCGGGCCUCUUGCCAUCAGAUGUGCCCAGAUGGGAUUAGCUUGUUGGUGAGGUAACGGCUCACCAAGGCGACGAUCCCUAGCUGGUCUGAGAGGAUGACCAGCCACACUGGAACUGAGACACGGUCCAGACUCCUACGGGAGGCAGCAGUGGGGAAUAUUGCACAAUGGGCGCAAGCCUGAUGCAGCCAUGCCGCGUGUAUGAAGAAGGCCUUCGGGUUGUAAAGUACUUUCAGCGGGGAGGAAGGUGUUGUGGUUAAUAACCGCAGCAAUUGACGUUACCCGCAGAAGAAGCACCGGCUAACUCCGUGCCAGCAGCCGCGGUAAUACGGAGGGUGCAAGCGUUAAUCGGAAUUACUGGGCGUAAAGCGCACGCAGGCGGUCUGUCAAGUCGGAUGUGAAAUCCCCGGGCUCAACCUGGGAACUGCAUUCGAAACUGGCAGGCUUGAGUCUUGUAGAGGGGGGNNNNNNNNNNNNNNNNNNNNGAAUUCCAGGUGUAGCGGUGAAAUGCGUAGAGAUCUGGAGGAAUACCGGUGGCGAAGGCGGCCCCCUGGACAAAGACUGACGCUCAGGUGCGAAAGCGUGGGGAGCAAACAGGAUUAGAUACCCUGGUAGUCCACGCCGUAAACGAUGUCUACUUGGAGGUUGUGCCCUUGAGGCGUGGCUUCCGGAGCUAACGCGUUAAGUAGACCGCCUGGGGAGUACGGCCGCAAGGUUAAAACUCAAAUGAAUUGACGGGGGCCCGCACAAGCGGUGGAGCAUGUGGUUUAAUUCGAUGCAACGCGAAGAACCUUACCUGGUCUUGACAUCCACGGAAGUUUUCAGAGAUGAGAAUGUGCCUUCGGGAACCGUGAGACAGGUGCUGCAUGGCUGUCGUCAGCUCGUGUUGUGAAAUGUUGGGUUAAGUCCCGCAACGAGCGCAACCCUUAUCCUUUGUUGCCAGCGGUCCGGCCGGGAACUCAAAGGAGACUGCCAGUGAUAAACUGGAGGAAGGUGGGGAUGACGUCAAGUCAUCAUGGCCCUUACGACCAGGGCUACACACGUGCUACAAUGGCGCAUACAAAGAGAAGCGACCUCGCGAGAGCAAGCGGACCUCAUAAAGUGCGUCGUAGUCCGGAUUGGAGUCUGCAACUCGACUCCAUGAAGUCGGAAUCGCUAGUAAUCGUGGAUCAGAAUGCCACGGUGAAUACGUUCCCGGGCCUUGUACACACCGCCCGUCACACCAUGGGAGUGGGUUGCAAAAGAAGUAGGUAGCUUAACCUUCGGGAGGGCGCUUACCACUUUGUGAUUCAUGACUGGGGUGAAGUCGUAACAAGGUAACCGUAGGGGAACCUGCGGUUGGAUCACCUCCUUACCUUAAAGAAGCGUACUUUGCAGUGCUCACACAGAUUGUCUGAUGAAAA